UACCCAAUAGCUAGCCCACCCUAAAAAAUCAAUACCUCAUUAUUUAUAACCCCUAACACCCUACCUUUUUAAAAGCAAACCAUUUUUCCCCUCAAGUAUAGGCGAUAGAAAAAGGAACCCCGGAGCAAUACAAAAGUACCGCAAGGGAAAGCUGAAAAAGAAAUGAAAUAAUCCAGUAAAGUUUAAAAAAGCAGAGCCCUCUCCUCGUACCUUUUGCAUCAUGAUUUAGCAAGACCCUGUCAAGCAAAAAGUUUAUAGUUUGAUCCCCCGAAACUUAGUGAGCUACCCCAAGACAGCCUAUAAAUAGGGCAAACACAUCUCUGUGGCAAAAGAGUGUGAAGAGCUUCGAGUAGAGGUGAUAAACCUACCGAACUAAGUUAUAGCUGGUUGUCUAAAAACUGAAUAAAAGUUCAGCCCCUCUUUUUCUUAAUUUACCCUAAAAUUUUUACUAGUCCAAUUUUAAGAAAAUCAGGGAGUUAUUCAAAAGAGGAACAGCCCUUUUGAAUGAAGACACAACUUUAGAGGCAGGGUAAUGAUCAUUUUAACUCAAGGUGAGUAUUUUUGUAGGCCUAAGAGCAGCCACCAAUAAAGAAAGCGUUAUAGCUCAAAUAUUAACACAAACCUCAAAUCCCGGUAAUACCAACCAAAACCCUCCAUCUUUAUUAGACUAUCCUAUUCUUCUCAUAGGAGAAACAAUGCUAAUAUGAGUAAUAAGAGAUUUGAAUCUCUCCUCGCACUUGUGUACCUCGGAACGAACCAAUCACCGAAAAUUAACGGACCCAACAUUUAAGAGGGUAUUGAAACAAAAAAAGAUAACUAGAAAACACUUCACCCACCACCGUUAACCCUACACCGGUGUGCCAACCAGGAAAGACUAAAAGGGGAAAAAGGAACUCGGCAAAAUUACAAAACAAAGCCUCGCCUGUUUACCAAAAACAUCGCCUCUUGCCCACCAAAUAUAAGAGGUCCCGCCUGCCCUGUGACUCAUAGUUUAACGGCCGCGGUAUUUUGACCGUGCAAAGGUAGCGCAAUCACUUGUCUUUUAAAUGAAGACCUGUAUGAAUGGCAUUACGAGGGCUUAACUGUCUCUUUCCCCCUGUCAAUGAAAUUGAUCUCCCCGUGCAGAAGCGGGGGUUUAAUCAUAAGACGAGAAGACCCUAUGGAGCUUUAGACGCAAGAACAGCCAAUGUUAAGAAUUCUAAAUUAAAAGACAAAACCAAUUGAAACCUGAACUAGUGUCUUUGGUUGGGGCGACCAUAGAGCAUACAAAACCCCUAUGAAGAAUAAACAUACUAUGUUUUGAACCAAGAGUGACAACUCUAAGCAACAGAACUUCUGACCUAGUAGAUCCGGUAUUACCGAUCAACGAAACGAGUUACCCUAGGGAUAACAGCGCAAUCCCCUUUUAGAGCCCACAUCGACAAGGGGGUUUACGACCUCGAUGUUGGAUCAGGACAUCCUAAUGGUGCAGCCGCUAUUAAGGGUUCGUUUGUUCAACGAUUAAAGUCCUACGUGAUCUGAGUUCAGACCGGAGUAAUCCAGGUCAGUUUCUAUCUAUGAAAUGUUUUUUCCUAGUACGAAAGGACCGAAAAAAAAAGGCCUCUGCCAAUAAGUAAGCCUUCCCUUAACCUAAUGAAAACAACUAAAUUAGACAAAAAGGCAUAUCUCAUAAGCCCCACCUAAGAUAAAGGCAA
rnacentral:rRNA from 1 species